GACGAACGCUGGCGGCGUGCUUAACACAUGCAAGUCGAACGAAGUGGCGAACGGGUGAGUAAUACGUGGGUAACCUGCCCUACUUUUUGGGAUAAGCCUUGGAAACGGGGUCUAAUACCGAAUAAAGGGGGAUGGGCUCGCGGCCUAUCAGGUUGUGGGUGGGGUGAUGGCCUACCAAGGCGGUGACGGGUAGCCGGCCUUAGAGGGUGACCGGCAAGGUAGGGACUGAGGUACGGACCAGACUCCUGAGCGAGGUAGUAGUGGGGGACAUUGGACAAUGGGCGACAGCCUGAUGCAGCGAAUGCGCGUGGGGGAUUAAGGCUUGCGGGUUGUAAACCUCUUUCGCUAUCGAAGGGGUAGGUGGAGAAGAAGCGCCGGCUAACUACGUGCCAGCAGCCGCGGUAAUAC
rnacentral:rRNA from 1 species